GAUGAAGAACGCAGCGAAAUGCGAUACGUAAUGUGAAUUACAGAAUUCAGUGAAUCAUCGAGUCUUUGAACGCACAUUGCGCCCCCUGGUAUUCCGGGGGGCAUGCCUGUCCGAGCGUCAUUGCUGCCCUCAAGCCCGGCUUGUGUGUUGGGUCUCGUCCCCCUUCCCGGGGGGACGGGCCCGAAAGGCAGCGGCGGCACCGCGUCCGGUCCUCGAGCGUAUGGGGCUUUGUCACCCGCUCUGUAGGCCCGGCCGGCGCUUGCCGAUCAACCAAAACUUUUUUCCAGGUUGACCUCGGAUCAGGUAGGGAUACCCGCUGAACUUAAGCAUAUCAAUAAGCGGAGGA
rnacentral:misc_RNA from 1 species